rnacentral:rRNA from 1 species
AGAGUUUGAUCCUGGCUCAGGAUGAACGCUAGCUACAGGCUUAACACAUGCAAGUCGCGGGGCAGCAUGACGAUUGCUUGCAAUUGUUGAUGGCGACCGGUGCACGGGUGAGUAACGCGUAUCCAACCUUCCCCAUAGUAGGGUAUAGCCCGGCGAAAGUCGGAUUAAUCCCCUAUGUUGUUUGAAGCGGACAUCUAAUUCAAACCAAAGAUUCAUCGCUAUGGGAUGGGGAUGCGUCUGAUUAGGUUGCAGGCGGGGUAACGGCCCACCUGGCCGACGAUCAGUAGGGGUUCUGAGAGGAAGGUCCCCCACACUGGUACUGAGACACGGACCAGACUCCUACGGGAGGCAGCAGUGAGGAAUAUUGGUCAAUGGCCGGAAGGCUGAACCAGCCAAGUAGCGUGCAGGAUGACGGCCCUACGGGUUGUAAACUGCUUUUGCGGGAGGAUAAAGUGCACUACGUGUAGUGCUUUGCAGGUAUCCCGUGAAUAAGGACCGGCUAAUUCCGUGCCAGCAGCCGCGGUAAUACGGAAGGUCCGGGCGUUAUCCGGAUUUAUUGGGUUUAAAGGGAGCGCAGGCGGAGGCGCAAGCGUGCCGUUAAAUUGCGGGGCUCAACCCCGUACCGCCGUUGAGACUGACGGGCUGGAGUGCGGUUGAGGCAUGCGGAAUGCGAGGUGUAGCGGUGAAAUGCAUAGAUAUCACGCAGAACUCCGAUUGCGAAGGCAGCAUGCCAAGCCGUUACUGACGCUCAGGCACGAAAGCGUGGGGAUCGAACAAAAUUAGAUACCCUGGUAGUCCACGCAGUAAAC